rnacentral:ncRNA from 1 species
UAUCAAUGAAGAAAAAUGACCCUGCUUAGCUUGAGUCUAGUCUAACUUCGUGAAAUGACUAGAGGCAAAGGAUAAGUAGAAGUUGGAAAUGUUGGAGCGAAACACUACUACUUUUAACAGUAGUUUACUUAUUUCAUGAGUUGAAAGCAGGAACACAACCCCUCUUUUUGGACUGAAGGCAUGUCUCAGCAAAUCAAUCCAAGCGCAGAAUCUUGCCAUCUGGCUAGAGCAACAAAUCUAUUUAAGGACAAUAGAGGUGUCAGAAAAGUUACCACAAGGAUAAUUGUCCUGUUUUAGCCAAGUGUUCCUACAAACAUUGCUUGUUGACCCUUCAACAUCAGCUCUUCCUAUCAUUUUGAAUAAAAAAAUUACCAAGUGUUGAAUUGUCCAUCCACCCAUAGAGAAAGUGAGUUGGGUUUGAGACAGGUUAGUUUUAUUCUGGUGUUG